CAAAUAAUUGAUUUCUAGCGCAUCAUAUUUAGAGGAACCCGUAUAUGCGAUCUUCUCCUUCGUGAAACUCGUUUCGUGCUAUUCUUAAUCGCUUCGCCGGGCACCGAGAGGUGAGAGAGAGAGAGAUGGCUGAGCAGAAGCAGCAAGAGGAGUUGGAGAGGGGAAAAAUGGUGGCGACUCCCUCUUUCGUAACCUUUCCAAAAUCAUCCAAUAACACUGAUACCACCGCUUCUGUCAAACUCCAAGCAGAGGACUCUGCAACAAGCCCUAAAAACAUGUGGCAGGUUUAUGCUCUUGGUGGUUUCAUGGUUCUAAGAUGGAUCUGGGCUAGAUGGAAGGAGAGGAAAGCUAGAGGAGGGUCAUCUGAGGAAGCAUCCACAUGAGGUCUUUUUUUUGCUUUUAGUGUACUCUUUUGAUCCUGGAGGCAGGCGAAAGUUGAUGACGCUUGGGAGAGGAAGGCAUCGCCUUUAAAUGGGAACAUUACUUUUGUGGUGAUUUUGACAGUUCAAAUAUUUUCUUAAUUCUCUACACUUCAUCUCACUUAUGAUUUGAAGGACUUGUAACUGGAACACAAACUGGUCUAUAAUGUGUAUAAGACAAACACAGUAAAGAUUGUCAAUUUGCAUGGCAGUGGGUAGGCUGGGUGUUCGAUGCAUUUAGGAAGCUAUACAAUAUGACUGUUGAACUUUGGUACAAGAAGCGCACAACUAUUCGUAGCUGUCAUGUAAAAUUGGGUGGCUGGAAGUGCGCCCUGGUUUGCACUCAAAAGCAUGAUAUAUGUUUUCAAAUUUUAUGUAAAAAUUGACUGCUUGAUUUCAUAUUUCACGGUUUCGAGU